CUAUGACCUUAGAGACCUAAAUUGGGUUACUGAUUUUAUCAUGAAUGAUGCAACUGUGAAGCUUUAUUGUGAAUCCUCUAUAUGAAGCUUCUCUUAAUGUCAAGCCUCUGGAUUAGCAAAUGUCCAGAUACAUUCAUACCUUUGACAUAUGUAUUAUUGCAGGAUGCUGGCAGAGCAUGUAUGGAUCAAUAAAACUGUUGGAUGAGUUCUCUGAA